CAUAUGGGGGUCCCAAGGGGGUCCCAAGGGGGUCCUGGGGUCCUUAUGGGGCCCCCUGAGGUCCCUCUGGGGGUCCCGGGGGGUCCCUUUGGUGCCCCCCACCCAUGGGUGCCCCCGCGCUGUCCCGGCCGCUGCAUUAAAGGACUUUGGGAACCGACCCGGCUGCUCCUUGGGACACGGGGGGGGGGACAUCCCAGUAUGAACUGGGACCAUUCCAGUACGAACUGGGACCAUUCCAGUAUGAACUGGGAACCCCAGCCCCAGCCCAGUACAGACUGGGCCCAUUCCCAGUACAAACUGGGAUCCCCAGCCCCUCCCCAGUAUGAACUGGGAUCCCCACACCCUUCCCAGUAUGACCUGGGCCCAACCCACUACAAACUGGGAGCCUUCCCAGUAGAAACCAGAAUCAGAAGCCCCAUCCCAGUAUGAACUGGGCCCAUUCCCUGGGGUCCCCAGGAUCAUUUGGGGUGGUGGUAGACCCCCACCCCACAUAUCCCUCAACAAUUGGGUCCCCGGGUUGACUUGGGAUCUUGGUAGACCCCCAAUCCCACGUGUCCCUCAACCUUUGGGUUCCCAACCCCUCAUGUCCCCAACCCUUCACCCCCAACCCCUGACCCCCCCCGGGUUGCCUUGGGGUCUUGGUAGACCCCCACCCCACAUAUCCCUCAACAAUUGGGUCCCCAGGAUGAUUUGGGAUGAUGGUGGGAUCCCACCCCACAUGACCCUCAACUUUUGGCCCCCAACCCUUUCCACCCCCAACCCCUUGGGUCCCCG
rnacentral:lncRNA from 1 species